CUCCCUCUUCUUAUGCGCGUGCGCCCGCUAUAGUCCCGCCCCCAAAAUCCCGUGGGCCCCUGCGAGGUGGUAUUUAAGUGUCUAGCUGUGCACCUUCGGUCUCGUUUUCUUCCUGCUGUACCGGGGUUCAGGCGCCCGAUUGAACGCUGAAGACUCGAAAAGAUCCCUCCUGUUGUUAAGAAGGUGGUUCAGCUCAAAAGAGAUUGCGGGUUGGAGGAUGGGACAAGACCUACUCCUGUGCGAAUCGAGCACCGCAGUGAUGCUCCAGCAUCUUCUCACCAAUUCUGAGGAAUUCAGCUGCCUCCCAGGAUGAUGAAUACAGCUUGUUCUUGGAAUGAUUUUCCUGGGGAGAGAGAGCAACCCGGCAGCACAGUUGGUUCUUGUGAGGGUGUGCUCUUCCCUCAUCCACAUGUCACUGUCAGAUGAUUUGAAUUGAUAUGCUGAUCCUCCGUGAGGUACGACAGUUAAUAGCAUGUUAGAGUUCUGAUGGCAGUUUCUGUUAAUGGAGAGAUUUAUUCCAUCGUUUAUUUUUUUAAUAACCAUGUGCUUCCCUUUCACAGGUUGUCCAGAUUAUAAAUUCAUCUGUGUUCCGUGAUGUUUCUUGAUCUCGUGCCUCUCCUAGAUGCCCUGUGAUCUGCCCCAGGUCGACUCCUGUAAAGAGUGGAGAGUGGAGCACCUUGUUUGUGUAUACUACUGGAAAGCCUCCAGAAUUGAAAGGUGCUGUUACCAGUAACCUGCUUUUUUGCUCGAAGGUCCAGCACCUUGUCGGGAGCCCAAGAAUGAUUUGAGCGAAAGCAUAUGCCAUAUUUCUGCUCAACUCCAGUCUGAAGUUAGAGGACUGAAGAAAGAUCAAAGCGCAUAAAAUGGAAUCCAGCUCUUGGAGGACAUCGGAAAGGGAAUUUUCAAGUUGUUUCUUGUACAACCUAGCUAUUCAAAUUGGCAUAUAGGAACAUUUCAGCCUUUCUAAAUAAAAAGGGUUUUUUUAAUCGUCA